CUUCAAUAUGGUUUCCAACUCCAAUUCUGGUGCAGACCAUUUGCUUUGUGUAAUUUCUACUCUUUUCAUUUAUACUUAAAAUAUUGAUUUUUUGUCAUCUUUUUGAUCAUGCAAUUUAUGCUGGUCUUGAAUUUACUUUGUAGCCCAGGCUGUCCUUGAACAUGCAGCAAUCCUCCUGCCUUAGCUUCCUGAGUCCUGGGGUACAGCGACUUGGCACCAUGCCUCACUGAAUUAUUUUUGAACUGCUAUAGAAUCUCUGACUGUGUGGUCUCUGAUCCUUACAAUGUUAUUUGUAAAUGUUUUUACAUUGUGAGUUAUUGGUGAAAGAUAUUGACUAAUUCCUCUCAUUGCUUUAUUUUUGUUCUUGAUUUCUGUAUUUUUUCCUUUUGAUGAACUUCUUUUUACAGUGCUGGUAUGGUGGUCCUGAAUUUCUUAAAGGGCUAUUUGUCAUGAAACUUCUUAAUGUUUUCCUCAAUUUGGAAAGGUAUGUUUGUACAAUAUUAUAAUGUACAGUGAAGAUUUUCUUUUGGACUUGAUGAAUUCCUACUAGUCCACCUGUCUAAAACCAAAGUCCAUGUUGCAUGCUUGUGAUUUGAUUUAUGUUCCAACUUUCAUAAAAUGCCAGGAAUUUGCGAGGCACACAAGGAGCCUGUGAAGUCACCCUCAUUCUCCUCCCCUGUGUAUUCAGGCUUCACUGGAGCACAGGUCCUUGUUACUCAUGACCUCUUCCCACUCAGUCUUCUCUACUGACUCUGUAGACUCUGGGUCAUCUGAUUUGUUGCCGUGUUUGUCUUGUGAAGGUCAUUACAAUGGAGAAGGUUAUUAAUGAAUUGUGCUUGGUAGGCAGCUGAGGUUCCCAAGGGAUACAGACCUUAGUCACAAUUUGCUCCUCUCAAGGCAUCAUCGUCUUUGUCUUCCACAACCUCAAGCAACUGGCUGUGCUUUUCCCCAGGCAAGUAGCACAUGAGGGCAGCAGUCCACCCCAAGCAGGGAGGUUUAUGUUGAGAUUCUAACAGUGCGGGAAGAGCUUGUGGACCUUCAUGCAGUAAUAAAUUCCAACAUCCUCAGCUUCCACCCUGCUGAUUUUGAGUGGGAAAUGUAUGCCUGACUCACUGCCACUGGAUAUUUUGAGACAUAAAGGUGUUUCUUAAAAUGUUAUAAAUCAUACGCGAUGGAGGGCACCCUGGCAUCUGUAUAAGUGAAUUGAGGAGAUGUUUGCCUCCUAGAUCAGGAGGCUUUGAUUUGAUCUGCAGGAGAUGGAGGCUGAGUCUCCAGUGGUGAUGGACAGACAGAGUAGAUUCUGGCUCAUCUCAACAACUCAGUGUAUCCCAAAAUAAUGAAGAAGGAGGAUCAGUACAUUUUUAUGAUUUUCUAUUUUUAUAAGUUGCAAACUGCAUUUUUAAUUUUGAUGUAUAAAGAAAACUAUUCAAAUUUUAAAAGUUAGGUAAAUUUUGGUGCAUUUUAAGUAUACAUGGUGAUGCAACUUCAUAGGGAACUGGCUCCAGUACAUGAUAUAGGUUGAUUCCUUUAUCUCCAUUCCUCUCUACUCUCCUCAGUCCUUGAUCCCCUCCUUAUUUACAAAACCUUUGUUUCCAUUUUUCCUUCUUUUAUCAUUUUUUCUUCUGUCUUUCCGUACCCUAGUUCCCUUUCCCAUUUGAACAUUUUCUUACUAUUUCACAUCUGUUAUGCCUUUUGAUACUCACUCUUUUAAGCUCUCACAGUGGAGAAACAAUGUGGUAUGUACACUUGUGAUGAGCAUUUGUGUUGCUUCUAAGACUUGGUUAAUACGAACCAGGCUGCUCUUCACAGUGAAGGUGCCAGUCUCAUAUUUGUAAAACCUUCCAUGUCCUUGGAGCCCCUGGUACCUGGGACAGACUAGGAUGAGGCCAGUGAGUCAUUUGCCUUGGGUGCAAAAAUGAAGAAAUUGCCCACAUCUGUGUCACUUGUAUGAUUAACUUCAAAGCAUCUAAAGUUGUGCAAAGACCAUCUAAUAGUAAAAAAAAAAUCAGAAUUGUGGUGGAAACAAGAUCUUGUGAACAAAUAAAAAUGGGGAUUGUGGCAAUAUAUGAUAUUGCUAGGCCUAUUUGGUUGGUGAUUUUGGUCGUGUUUCUGCCACGAGUUGCGAGCAGUGGCUGGGUUGAAAGUGGCAUUGCAAGUGUCUAUUGCAAGGUUAUUAGACUCGAAGACACUUGAUGUCUGUAACAUGGAGAAUGGCUUGUGUGCUGUUCUUGGCUGGGACAAGGGUGUGUGCCGGGUUUAAUUCUAAAGACUGCAAGAGCCCUGGAUCAUGUUAGGAGGACGAUGGAAAUGAUGUUUCACCAGUGUUCUAUAUGAGCCAGUUUUCAAUAAAUAAAAUGAAAAUAACAGACACACUAAAUUCAUGGAGCUUCCCGAGAUAUCUGUGGCAGUUCUGCUGGAGUUGAAUUAGGUCACACUGUUGUAAGCAAAAUAUUGCAAAAAACAGUGUCACUGGGCACUUGCAGGGCAUAAAGCUGACCAGAAGAGGGUAGCACAUACACACUUCUGUAGGUGAAGCCUUCAGUUUGUUCCUUCUGCUCAAGGUGCUCUGAUCCCACAAGUGAAACUUUUUGGUUGGUUUUAUAGCAAGGAUCCCCAAGGGAAAUGUCCUUUGCAUGUAAUACAGAUAAAGUUUACUGUUGAAAACAAAAGUCGUUUUAUUAAUGUUAUUUUGUCUCUGGUCCAUGAAUUUCUCUCAGUUUCACUCAUUCUUUCUUGCCAUUUUUAUCUUAGUAGCCAGUCCUUCUUGGCCUCCCUCGUGGAUUUCUCUUCAUAUCAUUGCUUUCCACACUGUGUUGCCUUCAGGGUCCCAGUCUGCUUUCAUCUGUUUCUGCUCGUCUGUCCUUCUGAGUUCCUCCUCACGUCUCAGCACAGGUCCCUGAUCUCCAGAAUCCCUCCUGUGUCUCUGGGUUAGGACAUCACCAGCUGGAGUCAUGGGACAUCUCGAAAUUCUCUCCUGCUCCCUCCCAUGUCCUCAGUCCCCCGCCACUCCUUGCUGCUUCCCUUCCACACCCCUGAUCUCACAAUACAUGGUUUCAAAUUCAACAGUUGCAGAAACUCAAACCUGUAGAACAGUUAUCAUGUUUUUUUUUAAUAUUUUCACACACAAAACAUUCAGAAGGAGAAGAAAGUUCAUUAUUUUGCCUUUACAAUACAGUAACCAUCUGCUUACUUUUCACUACAGCCUCUGUUGGGUCAAGGGUGUGUACAAGGAAGACCUCAGCGUAGAGAGUUUUCUUCUCUCUCUUCCAUGACACAGCUCCUUGCUGCUCUGCUCUUUUCCUCAUGUUCCCUGGCAGAGGCCUCAGCUGCAGCUUUUUGUUCUGAUUCUUCAACCUCUUCCUCUCACAGAGAGCAGGCUGUGCUGUGCUGCUCCCCAGACAGCAGUGCAGGAGGGCAGCUGGGCCUCCCCAGGCAGGGAGGUUUGUGUUCGGGACUGUAGAACUGUGAGAGGAAGAUGUGUACCUUGAAACUGUAAUAAACUCCAGCAUCUUCGGCCUCCAGCCUGCUGAUUGUGAGUGUGAAAUCUGCCCUCACCCACUGCCACUGAACCUGUCAGAGAGAUGCCAGAAUAUUGGUUGGAACCCUCAUAAAUCACACCCCUUGGAGCCUGGCCUGGCUUGUGCACAACCCAAUACAGGUAAGUGUCUCCAUCACAAUGCAGGAGGCUGUGACUGGACCUGCAGGAGAUGGAAGGAGUCUCUCCAGUGGCGACAGACAGAGAGAGUGGGGUCUGGGUCAUCAGAACAUCUUCCAUGGAUCCUAAAAUGAUGAAGGAGAAGUGAAAUAUCAGGAACCAACAUCAUGAGCCUUUUUGAUAAAUUCUGUGUUUUGUCACUGUUAAGUGAAAUUAAUAUUUUUACAUUAAUGUACAGUAAAGAGUUUUCAAAUUUGAUAUUGCAUCCAAGAAUUCUAAUCAAAGAAUCCCUCUAGAAUUCAUCUGAGCAUCCCUGUUUUUCUUUGUGAAAUUUUCAUCAGAGGACGUGUCCUUAGUUCUUUGGGGACUUUCUUGACUCCCUGAUCUAACAUCACACACCCAUGCUUCAAGUCAGGGCUGCACAUUUCACAUAUGGACAGAAGUCAGCCAGGUGGCAAUGGGACUCACCUUUUGACCCAGUGCCCCUCCUCAUCUCCCUGUGUCCUUACCAGUGAUCCAGACCAGUAGCGGCCACAUCGGCUGAAUAUGGAGCCUCAUUUUGUGAAAUUUAACUUAAGAGUCCUGAUCAGUCAAGGCAAAGUUACAGCCAGCUUUUAUCUGAGACUUGCUUGGGAAGUUCCUCCAUGGGGACAAUAUGCAAAUUCCCUGGUGGGUGAAGAGGUGCAGAAGGAGUGCAGAGCAUGGUGGGAGGCUUCUCAUGUGGGCCCAGUGGUAUCAAGUGUCCUCUGUGUCGGGGGAAUCAAUGGAGCUACAGUCCAUGCUGUGUGCAGCAGUAGGUACCAGGAUCCCUUGGAAAAUCAGCAUCUGCAGCAGGGGCACCGUGCUCAGGGCUGUGCCCACCCCAGACAGGACUGCAGUCCCCAGGAUACAGGGGUGUGCAGAUCAGUCUCUGGGAGGGGAAGGCUCAUUCCUCUUAGAAAGAAGCAAUUCUCACCUCAUGAGAACUCAUUUUUAGUCCUUUCUACUGUUAGCAGCGUGUAGCAGAGCUGUUAACUCUUCUCAUGUGACUCGCUGAACUCUCAUCAUCUUAGAAACAAAUAUUAGAUAUAAUCUUCCUUGACCUGGAAAUGAAAUGACAUAGGGCAGCAAACUGAAAAGAAUAUGAUACAGAGAAAAGUAUCUGUCUUUUCGUUGGAGAUCAGUAACUCUGUUGAAGGCAAGAAGUAAAAGAAAACUAAAUAUGCCUUAUAUAGACGAUGUGAAAUUCUUUGCAUUUAGAUUUUGAAACUGGUAAAUACCUGGUCACGACUGUUCUUUUGUAGAUAUGUAUAUCCUUAUACACACACACACACACACACACACACACACACACACACACAAAAUCACACACACAAUCACAUAACCCAGAUAAUAAAAUAACCUUUUCAUAGCUAUCCUUUGUUUUAAUAGAUGUUAGGCAACUUUCGUCCAUAAUUUAAAGAGACAUUCUCAAUGUCAGAAUGUCAUGAUUGAAUCCAGUGUUUUAACCUUUCAGGAUGAUUUGAAUCAAUGACUGGCAUGGUCCUGGAGUUUAUCUGAGAUGGUCACUGUGGAAAGGGCAUCAGUUGGAAACUUCCUCCAAAGCUGUGAGAGGGGGCAUAAAUAUACAACAGGGAAGAAGAGUCUCCCAGCCACACAUCAUUGUGAAAAACACGGAAGCAUCUUAAGGCGCUGUGUAUGAGUCAUCUCUUCCGAACUUGCUUGUUCUGCCAGUGUGUACUAGAAACACACAGGUUCAGUUUAACAGGAACCAGAGCGCUGGCUGAUGAGGAGCAGGAACAACAGCAGCAACCACAGGCACCACCAGAGAGAACACCAUGGGAAAGACACGGAAAACCAGUACUCUGCUGGUACUGUUUGCUUCUUUCACAUGUGCUCUCCCCAGCCCAUCCUUCCCUCAUGUGUCUUUCUGUCUCUGUAUUUAUCCCUUUCAAGUGUGCGCUGUUAUUUCCCAGGGUUGGAUGGGCUGCUGUUCAUAGUGAAGAUGCCAAUAUCUUGUGAAUAAAAUCCUCCAUGUCCUUGGAUUCCCUGGUUCCUGGGACAGACUAUGGUGAGGCCAGUGAGGCAUUUGCCUAGGGUCCAAAACUGAAAAACUGUGCACAUCUCUGUUACUUGUAUAACAAAUGUUAAUGCAUCCAAAGAUGUGCAAAGGAAUUGCACUUUCUAGGAAAAAAUCAGAAUUGUAGGUGAAAACAAGACCUUCCUUGUGAACAUAUAAAUUUCACUAGGGAUUGUGACAAUAUGAUUUUGUAAGUGUACUUGGUUUGUGAUUUGGAUUGUGUUUCUGCCACCAGUUGGUAUCAGUGGCUGGGUUGAUAGGAGCAUUACAAGUGUGUUCUGCAAGAUCAUUAGAGCCUAGGACACUUGAUUUCUGUAGCAUAGAGAAUUGUUUCUGUGCUGUGCAUGCUGUGCUUGGUUGGGGCAGGGGUGUGUGCCAGGGUUAAUCCUAAGGACUGCAUGAUCACUGGAUCACUUUAGGAGGACUACAGAAAUGAUUAUUCAUGAGUGUUGUGCAUGAUCCAGUUUCCAAUAAUAAAAUGAAAAAAAAUGAAAACAUUAAAAGCCUAAAGUUUCCUGAGAUAUCUGCGGCAAUUCUGCUGAUGUUGAAUUAGGUCUGUCCUAGUCAGGGGUUGUACACAGAGAACAAUUUAUAUCAGGACAUGGAGUUUUUAUUAUUUUUAUAACGGUCACCGGAAGUUAACACAGGAGAAUGCAGGAAAUCUAUCCACAACACCAACAAUACAGAUUAUUUAGUCAAGAGUCUAAAUCCCAUGGCAAUGUCCCACAUGAGUCCAGAUAAAAACCCAGAGCUCAGAACAACGCCUCCCCGAGUCCAACUGCAAGUCCAGAGCCCACAAGAGGGACUCGCACCAGUCUCUUUUACAGAUUCGUGCCGCGAAAACCCAAGGGUCAGCGGUGGAAGCCAGAAAGUCUAUACCAGCAGGAUGAAGGAGCUGUGCUAGUGGGAUGAGGGUUCUACACUGGAGCCGAGAAGUCACACUCACAUCAAAGAGCAGGGCUGUCCUGAAAGGCACCCCAGGUGUCCUUAGCGACACGGAGGCCCCGAGCUCCUCCAACGACAAGCACAGUCAGGUAUGUGCCAAGAAGCAGCGUGACGAGUUCAUCCUGGAGAACAUGUCUUCCACCCUGGAGCCAGGAAUCAAUGCUCGAUAUGAAGACCAAAGCUUCUCCAGGAGAACCAACAGCUCAGACAGCAACUCAUAGGAGAACCCAGAAUGUCUCCUUAAUGCCUCAAUCCCUCCCAACACCUCUCUUCUUCUCCACCUAUUUAUCCUGGCAACACUCUUCAGGUGGAGAAUCUUCUCUCACUGCAUGCUGAUGUAAUCCAGCUGGCGUUAAGUUGAGCACCAGUUUUCAAACCAUAAGAAGGUCACAGUGUUGUAAGCAAAAUAUUGUAAUAAAUAGUUUGAAAGAGGCUGAACAAUGUUGCUAGGCACUUGCAGUGUAAGAAGGUGACCAAAAAAGGGAAGCACAUGCACACUUCUGUAGCUGAAACCUUCAGUAUCUUCCUGCUCAAGGUCCUGUGAUCCCACAAAUGAAAGGAUCCCCAAGGGGAAAUUGCAUUUGAAUGUAACAUAGGUUAAGUUUACAUUUGAAAACCGAAAUAUCAUUCUACUAAUGGUAUUUUGACUCUGGGACAUGAAUCUCUCUUAGUUUCACUCUUUCUUUCUUUCUUUCUUUUUAUUUUUAUCAUAGUAGCCAGUGCUUCUGUGCCUCCCAUUGGAUUUCUCUUCAUCUCUUUGCUUUCCACACCGUGUUACCUUCGGGGUCUCAUCUGCUUCCAUCUGUUUCUGCUCACUUUCUCCUUUGGAAUUGUUCUUCAUAACUCAGUGCAGGUCUUGGAUCUCCAGAAUCCCUCCUGUGCCUCUGGGUUAGGUCAUGACCAGCUGGAGUCAUGGGACAUCUCAAAAUUCUAACCUGUUCCCUUCCAUGUCCUCAGUCCCCAGGCCACUUGUUGCUGCUUCCCUUCAACUCCCCUGGUCUCACUACAUAUGUUUUCAAAUUUUCUAGUUGCACAGAUUCAAACUUUUGGAACACUUAUUGUGAUUUUUUUUUUACCAUUUUCUUACACAGCACAUCCAGAAAUACAAUGAAGUUCAUUUGUUUUGUCUUUAAAAUACAGUCACCUUCUGCCUACUUUUCGCUACACCAUGUGUUGGGUCAAGAGUGUGCACAAGGAGGACCUCAGAGUGGAGAGAUUUCUUCUCUCUUUCUCUUCCAUGACACAGGUCCUUGCUACUCUGCUAUCUUUCUCACUUUCUGUCCCAGGCAGAGGCCUCAGUUGCAACUUGUUGUUCUGGUUGUUCAGCCUCUUCCUCUCACACCUCAGGAUGUUCUGUGGUACUCCCAAGACCACAGUGCAGGAGGGCAGCUGGGCCUCCCCUGGCAGGGAAGUUUGUAUUUAGGCUUGCAUCACUGUGAGAGGCACAUGUGUACCUUGAUAACUGUAAUUAAGUCCAACAUCUUCAGGCUGCACCUUGCUGAUUUUGAGUUUAAAAUCUGUCCCUGAACUACUGCCACUGAACCUCUCUGAGAUACCAGAAUAUUGGUUGGAAGCCUCAUAAAUCACACCUCUUGGAGCCUGGUCUGGCUUUUGCACAACCCAAUGCAAAUAAGUGUCUCCAUCACUAUGCAGAAGGCCCUGACCGGCCCUGCAGGAGAUGGAGGUCGUUUCUUCAGUGGUGACUGACAGAGAGAGUGAGGUCUGGGACAUCCCAACAUCUCCCAUGGGUUGUAAAAUGGUUAAAGAGAAUUGCAAUGUCAGGAAACAACAUCAUGAGCCUUUUUCAUAGAUUUCUAUGUUUUCUCAUUAUGAAGUGAAAUUAAUAUUUUUAUCUUAAUCUACAAUGAAAAAUUUUCAAAUUAGAGAUUGUGUCCAAGAUUUCUAAUCCCAAGGAUCCCUCUAGAAUUCAUCUGAGCCAGCCUGUCUUUCUUUGUGGCAAUCUUCAUCAGAGGCCAGUUCCUCAGACCUUUGGGAAUUUUCUUGACUCCCUGAUCUAACCUCACUCACCCAUGCUUUAAGUUAGGGUGGCACAUCUCACAUAUGGACAGAAGUCAGCUCAGCAGCAGUGGGAUGCAGAAACUCACCUUGACAACCAAUCCCCCUCCUCACCUCCGUGUGUCCUCACCAGUGAUCCAGAGCAGUAGCAGCCCAGGGGCUGACGAGGGAGUCUCAUUUUGAGAAAUUAAACUGCCGAGUUCUGAUCAGUCAAGGCCAAGUUAGAGCCAGCUUUCAUCUGAGACUUGCUUGGAAAAGCUUCCCUGGGGACAAAAUGCAAAUCCCCUGAUGGGUGCAGUGGUGCAGAAAGAGUGCAGAGCAUGGAGGGAGGCUUCUCAUGUGAGCCCAGUGGUAUAAAAUGUCCUCUGCAUUUGGAAGAAACAAUUGAGUUACAGUCCAUGCUGUGUGCAGCAGUGGGCACAAGGAUGCCUUGGAAAAUUUGCAUCUGCAGCAGGGACACAGUGCUUAGGGCUCUGCCCACCCCAGAAAGUUCUGCAGUCCCCAGGAUACAAGGAUGUGUGCAGAUCAGUCUCUGGGAGGGAAUGCUCAUGCCUCUUAGCCUCCUGCAAGAGGAGGAAGCAAUUCUCCCUUCAUGAGAACACAUUUUUAUUCCUUUCUACUGUUAACAGCACGUAACAGAGCUGGUAAGCCCUUUUGACAUCACUGUUUGAACUCUCAUCAUCCCAGAAACAGGUACUAGAUAUAACCUUUUCUUUGACCUAGAAAUUAAAUGUCAUAGGAGCAUCAAAACCAAAUCAUGAUACAGAGAAAAAUAUUUGUCUUCUGGUUGGAGAUCAGUAACUGUUGAAGGUAAGAAGUAAAAGAAAAAAAAAUAAACUAUAUAUAUAUAUAUAUUUCGAUAAAUUACUUGUUAUUAGAUUUUGAAAUUGGUAAAUACCUGGCAAGCCUGUUCUCUUUUAGAUAUUUGUAUCCUGAUACACACACACACACAUCCCCCAGUUUUAAUUCUUACGCAAAAAAAUCUCUUGGUUUUACAUAAAUGAAUGAGACACAAUUGAUGCUACUUUUUUCUGAAUGAUCAUAAUGCAACAUUUUCAUAGCUACUCUGUUUUAACAGACAUUGGGUAACCAUGGUCCAUAAUUUAAAGAGGUAUUCUAAAUAUCAGAAUGGCAUGAUUGAAUCCAAUGUUCUAACAUCUCAGGGCAAUUUGACCAAUAGUGACAUGAUCCUAGAGUUUAUAAAAAUGGUCACAGUGGAAGGUGAUUUAACUUGUUUUUUUUAAGUUAAAAAAAUAAAGAAUAUUAAGAUAAAAGAUGGCAUAACAACACAAGUCAGAACAGAACAAUUUAAGCAACAUAGUGUUUCACCUCAAGAUAACCCAGUAUAACAGUAGGUACCAUAGUGUCCACUUCCUUGAAAUAUUUGUGUAUACCUUCAUAUACUAUAGCAGCAAACAUAACAAGACAGUGUAAAACCAUUUAAGAGGAUGAAAGUAUUACAGGGUAUUUAAAGCCAACUAACGAAUAAUGAACAAUGGUUUCUAUAUUACCUACUUGUCUAUAAAAAGCUUUGUGUAUACUAUCACAUAUACUAAAAUCCAGUAAGAUACAACAUGAUAAAACCGAUGGAGACAGGAGAGCAAAAGCUUGAUGGGACUUCAAAACAAGCUGAUAUUACAUCAGCACUAGCUAAUUUAAUGUCUUGUUUUCUUCAAAAUAGCUGUUCAUACUAUCACAGACAAUAAAAUCAAACACCCCAGAAUAAAACCAUUCCAAUUAAUGAAUGAAAACAUUAUAAGGCUUCAAAAUAUAAUGGGGAAUCAUGAUUACCACAUACUUUUAUGUGUUCUUACUAUUUCUUACACUAGGUAAAUAUUCGGUAUUUAUACAUGUGAGUUUGAUUUAUUUUGCUUAUGAGUAUGUUCUAAAGCUGUGUCCAUUUAUUUACAAAUACCUUACUGUGAUCAUUCUUUAUAGUUGAGUCUCCAUUGUAUAAAAAUACCACAACUUUUAUCCAUUCCUCAGUUGAUGGACACUUAGGUUGUUUCCAAGAUCUGGCUAUUACAAACUGUGCUGCUAUGAAUCUGGGUGCACAUAUAUCACUGUGAUAUGAAGUCUUCAGUUCUUCAGGGAAUUAGCCUAGAAGUGAAAUAGCUGGAACAAAUGGGACCUCCAAUCCCAGCUUUCUGAGAAAUCUCCAAACUGACCUCCAAAAUGGUUGCAACAGUCUACAUUCCCACCAACAGUGCAGGAGAGUUCCUUUUUCCCCACAGCCUCUUCAGCAUUUGUUGUUGGUAGUUUUCUUGCUCCUGGCCAUUCUAUCUGGAGUGAGAUGGAAUCUCAGUGCGGUUUUAAUUUGCAUUCCUCUAAUAAGUCGUGCUGAUGAACAUUUUUCAUGUAUUAAUUUGCCAUUUGUAUUUCUUCAUCUGAGAAUUGUGUUUUCAUCUCAGAUGCCCAUUAUUGGAUUGGAUCCUUGAAUUUUGGGGUCUGAUUUUUUUUUUAAUUUCUUAUAUGUUUUAGACAGAAGUCCUUUGUCUGAGGCACAGUAUGAUAAGUUUUUUUUUCCCAGUUUGUAGGUUUUCGUUUCACUAUGCUAGAGAUUUAUUUUGAUGUGCAGAAACUUUUAAUAAGACAUGAGCCCAGUUGUGAUUCUGGGAAGUAUUUCCCAUGCAUUUUGAUUCCUGUUCAUGAAUUCUCUACCUACCCCUAUGUCUUCAAUGUUUUUACCCACUUUGUUUUCCAAUAUACUUAGUGUUUCUGUUUUAAUAUUCAUAUCUUUGAUCCAUUUGAAUUUUAAUUUUAUACAUGGUGAUAGGCAUGGGUCUAGUUUUGGUUUUUGGCAUAUGGAGAGUCAGUUAUUUCAGCACCAUUUAUUAAAGAGACUGUCUUUAUUCCAGUGAACAUGUUUGGCCCCUUUAUCAAAGAUAAGGUGGUUGAGUAUCUUUGUAGCUGUGGUUGUACCUUCUAAUCUAUUCCACUGAUCUUUAGAUUGAUUUUUAUUGCAGUACCAGGUUGAUUUUACUACAGUUGAUUUGUAGUAUAACUUCAAGUCAGGGAUUGUGAUGCCUUCUGCCUUGUCUUUGUGGCUUAGAACUGUCCUUGCUCUUCUAGGUCUCUCCUCACUCCAGAUGAAAGUUAGGAGUGAUUUCUCGAAAUCUAUGAGGUAUAUUGAUGGUAUUUUUAUCAGGAUUCAGUGAAUCUGUAUAACAGCUUUGGGAGAAUGGCCAUUUUCACAAUAUUUAUUCUUCCUAUCCAUGAGCAAGGGAUGUCUUUCCACUUUCUGAGAUCCUCUUCAUUUUAUCUUUUUCAGUUUAUUAUAAUUUUUCCUAUGUAGAUCUUUCACAUCUUUUGUGAAAAUAAUUCCUAAAUAUUUCAUUUCUUUGGUUGCUAAUGUGAAGGGUGUGGCUUCUCUUAUUUCUCUCUGUGUGAUUUUGUUGUUAGUGUAUGGAAAUGCUAUUGAUUUUUGAGUAUUGAUUUUGUAUCCAGCUGCAUUUCUAAAUUUACCUACUAUAUCUAGAAAUCUUUCAAUGGGGUUUUUCAUUGGGGUCUUCUAUGUAGAGAUGCAUGUCAUCUGCAAAGAAUGAUACUUUAACUUCUUCUAGGGUUUUAAGUUUUAACUUCCUCAAAAGCUAUGAGAGAGUAAAUCCAAGCUGUCAUUCAUCUAUAAGGUUAUGUAAUUUUUUAUGACAGCUCUAGAGUUGCUGCAUGCCUCUCACACAUUUGGGAAAGUGCAUUUGUGAAAAGUUACGUAAAGGAGGAUUCUGUAAUGUGUGCUCUAAUUGUCCAUAAAAUAUUCUCUGGAUGUGCUUAUCCCCCUCUAUGUGUGAUGGGUGGGUUUUGGCUGUUAAACCUAGAACAUUCACACUGAACUACAUCAUGCAUCCUUUGUAUCUCUUUGAUUCUGAGACUGGGUCUUAUAUCAGUGUUCAGCUGCCAAGUUUCUGCUCCACUGUUCAUUCUCCUGCCUCAACCUCAGUGUGCUGGGCUGACAGUCAUUCACUAUCUCGUGUGACUUUGUUUUCUGAAUGUGUGGGUUCUCUCCAAAUAGUCCGAGAGGUUGAAACAUUCACUUGUUGGACCUGUGUCAUCUCUUAAGGCCUUGAUCCUCAUCUGUGUCACAUGAAUAAGUAAUAAAUGAAAUGAAAUAAAAUAAAUUUAGCUCAUUGAGGCCAUCAGAUAUCAAAGUUCUAAAGUUUAACACAGAUGUAGAGGAGACCACGAGUUGUUAGCAUCAGACAUUUAGUACACAUUGAGCUGUUGUACUAAAUUUUUAAAAAACUAAAAUAGUUAGUUAAAAGAUAGUUACUAGCAAAAAUAUUUAGUUAAAAGGAUAGUUAUUAGCAGAAUUGUCUUUCUGUUCUGUGCUCAUUACCCUAGUAACUACGAAGCACCAACCAUUUCGUUAUAGAUUGACUGCCUGCGAUGUUCAUAUUGUGUCAUUUAGUAUGUCAUUUAGUAACCUGUUUGCUUUGUCAACCUUUGUUCCCUUUGCCAGAAACAAAUUAUGCUGUGUCAACCAUUGUUCCCUUUAUGAGAGACAAAUGUUCCUGGAAUUGGCAGACCAAGGACUAUGAAUUGACUAACCACCCCCUGUGAAAUGCCUGUGACCUCAUGCAAAGGGCAACAAAGGCUCACCUUGGUUCUGUUUCUUAUCGCUAUGUACUUAAUGAUCAAUGAGCUAAUCAUAAAUGAACUAUAAAAAUCUGUCAAAAUUCUAGCGCAGGUGCACAGCUUUGCAAACUCCAUCUGCACUGUGCUACUGAGUACCAGCUUAAAUAAAGUGUUCUUUUACA